GGACAGGGACUUGGGGACCCCAGCAGCGACAACUCCAGCCAAGGGACUUUUCCCCAGGGUCCCUCUCCUUGUUGGCCCUGUCCCUGGACAUACGCCCCAUGGGAGGCAGUGGCUACAGGGUCAAGAAGCAGACUGUGACGCUCAAGUUGGAGAACUUGCCCCUUCCUGGGUGUCUCCACCUGCAAGGUGAGUGUGGGACCCUGCUCACUCUUGAGCUGUGGGAAGCCCAGGGGCCCAGACGGCUCCCAGGGGCACUGAAGAGUUAGAGCUAAACGGAGGUCAGGGGCUCCACCCUUGCUUCCUCCCAGGAGGCAGGGCAGAACAGGGGCCUGCUGCACCAGGUAACCGACCACGUCUGCUUGGUCACCGGAGCCCACGGGAAUGAAAGCAGCAGACGGGUCCAGCUCAGGAAACCCUCAGGUCAAAGCCCUGGCAAGCUCCCCUCUGGGCCAGGACACAAAAGACUCCAAGCCUGGUCUGUAAGUUGGAAAAUAACUUUAUUUGUUCUAGGGCACGGGCCAGAGUCCCUUAGAACUUCUGAAACUGCUUCUUGGUGCCAGCAGCCUUGGUGACCUUGAGCACAUUGAAUCGAACAGUCUUGCUCAGGGGUCUGCACUCCCCAACGGUGACAAUGUCGCCGAUCUGUACGUCCCUGUGGGGUUAGACAAGGUAGUCUUCAGGAGGGGUCUCCCCAAUACCUUCACUCACAGACAGGCUGAGGGUGCCUCCUCUGCUCCACCCAACCAGCCGCCAUCUAUGUGGUUGUGAAGACUGACCCAAACUAUAGCUUCUAGUUCCCUGCCUUUCCCAGCAGGCUGCACUGCUCUGCCCACAGGACACCCCUGUGUUCUAAAGACACCUGCACUUCCAUUACCUCUCCACAUCUGAGGCCCUUCCUGACACGGGUGCCCUCCAGCCUUGCCAGUGACUCUUGUCUGGAGUUAAUAUCCCACCCUAUCAGAGAACCGUGAUCACCUGAAACAGGGGGACAGGUGCACAGACAUGUUCUUGUGCCGCUUCUCGAAGCGGUUGUAUUUCCGGAUGUAGUGGAGGUAGUCCCGGCGGAUGACGAUGGUCCUCUGCAUCUUCAUCUUCGUCACAACGCC